AAUAUUGCGCAAUGGAGGAAACUCUGACGCAGCCAUCCCGCGUGCAGGAUUGACGGCCCUAUGGGUUGUAAACUGCUUUUCUAUACCAAGAAACACCGAUACGUGUAUCGGUUUGCCGGUAGUAUAGGAAUAAGCAUCGGCUAACUCCGUGCCAGCAGCCGCGGUAAUACGGAGGAUGCAAGCGUUAUCCGGAAUCACUGGGUUUAAAGGGUGCGCAGGCGGAAUAGUAAGUCAGAGGUGAAAGCCCACAGCUCAACUGUGGAAUUGCCUUUGAUACUGUUAUUCUUGAGUGUAGUUGAAGUAGGCGGAAUAUAGCAUGUAGCGGUGAAAUGCAUAGAUAUGCUAUAGAACACCAAUUGCGAAGGCAGCUUGCUAAACUAUAACUGACGCUGAGGCACGAAAGCGUGGGGAGCGAACAGGAUUAGAUACCCUGGUAGUCCACGCCGUAAACUAUGAACACUCGCUGUUGGCAAUACACAGUCAGCGGCUGAGCGAAAGCGUUAAGUGUUCCACCUGGGAAGUACGAUCGCAAGGUUGAAACUCAAAGGAAUUGACGGGGGCCCGCACAAGCGGAGGAGCAUGUGGUUUAAUUCGAUGAUACGCGAGGAACCUUACCUGGGCUUAAAUGUAUAUUGACGUACUGAGAAAUCAGUAUUUCUUCGGACAAUUUACAAGGUGCUGCAUGGUUGUCGUCAGCUCGUGCCGUGAGGUGUCGGGUUAAGUCCCAUAACGAGCGCAACCCCUACUUCUAGUUACCAGCAUUUCGGAUGGGGACUCUAGAGGAACUGCCUACGCAAGUAGAGAGGAAGGUGGGGAUGACGUCAAAUCAGCACGGCCCUUAUGUCCAGGGCUACACACGUGCUACAAUGGCCGGUACAGAGGGCAGCUACAUAGCAAUAUGAUGCUAAUCUCAAAAGCCGGUCUCAGUCCGGAUUGGAGUCUGCAACUCGACUCCAUGAAGCUGGAUUCGCUAGUAAUCGCACAUCAGCAAUGGUGCGGUGAAUACGUUCCCGGGCCUUGUACACACCGCCCGUCAAGCCAUGGAAGUUGGGGGUACCUGAAGUCGAUUGCCGUAAGGCGUUGCCUAGGGUAAACCAAUG
rnacentral:rRNA from 1 species